UUUAAGUGAAAGUAGUGAGUCAAAGUAAUGUCUGAAUUAUUUUGUUUACUUAAUUUUCGUACAUAAAAAUUAAUUAUUUACAUUUAUAAUAAAAUAAAAAAUUAAGGAAUCAAUAAUUAUUAAAAAAAAAAAAUUCAUUUCUUGCCUCGUUUCUCUUUUUAACAUAUUUCUAUCUUGUCUUUGCUCUCAGCUGCCUCCGGUCGUUCCGUACCCUUUGAUAAUAUUCAUCUCUAUCGAUGAUCGAGAUGGAAACAAUGGUUCAACUUUAAUUAUUUUAAUAAUUCAAAAGUGACGCUAUAUUGUUUUAAUGUAAUUUUACAAAUAUUAGCGUUAAUAAUAUGUUGUUUUUUAUUGGAUUCACUAAAGCCUCCUUAGAUAGUAAACGUCAAUUAACGUAAUUAAAUUACGAUGUAUAUCUAAAAAAAUUUAAUUGGACAACUAAAUAAGGUUAGAAUACAAAGAAGAAUACAACGAUGAAAGGUACAAGCAUAAUAAUCAUGAGGAAAUGAUAAUACUACGGAAGGAAUAAUGGAAUUUUGUCAUCGCUUACAUACUGAAGAUGUGAAUUUUAUAAUACUAGGGACAUGAUUGAUUAUUUUACAAUACUUACAAAAACAGCAAUGAAUAAAAGAUAAAUUGGCAUAUUUGGAAACACGACAAUUACCAUAAUUAUUUAUGGUCUGAAAAUAUAAACUAAAAAGUGAAAAAGUGAUUGCAAAAUUGUAUAGGAAUGAGGGGCCGGUACUGCUGACAAAAAAAAUAUUUGAAAAAUGUAUUAACAAUUUGAUCGCUAAAAUUUGAUGGCCAAACAAAAAAAUUACCUAAUUUCGAAGAAUUUGUAUUGUAAAAAAGCAUAAGUGAAAUUGUAUACGGAUGAAAGGGCCGGUACUGCUGAUAAAAAAAUAUUUGAGAAAUUUAUUUACAAAUUAAUCGCUAUAAUCUGAUGGCCAAAAAAGAAAUUAAUUUAUUUUUAAGAAUUUGUAUUGUGAAAAAGUGUUUGUGAAAUCGUAUAGGGAUGACGGGCCGGUACUGCUGAUGAAAAAAUAUUUGAAACAUUUUUUUACAAACUAAUCGCUAUAAUUUGAUGGCCAAAAAAAUUAAUUUAUUUUUAAGAAUUUGUAUUGUAAAAAAGUGAUUGCGAAAUUGUAUGGGGAUGAGGGGCCGGUACUGCUGAUAAAAAAAUAUUUGAGAAAUUCAUUUAUAAAUUAAUACACAAUAUCGCUCACUUUUUUACAAUUCAAAUUCUUGAAAAUUAACUAAUUUUUUUUGUUGACCAUCAAAUUAUAGCAAUUAAUUUGUAAAUAAAUUUUUCAAAAAUUUUUUUAUCAGCAGUAUCGGCCCCUCAUCCCCAUAAAAUUUUGCAAUCACUUUUUUUGUAGAAUUUGUAUUAUGGAAAAGCAUAAGCGAAAUUGUAUAGGGAUGAGGAGCCGGUAUUGUUGAUAAAAAAAUAUUUGAGAAAUUUAUUUACAAAUCAAUUGCUAUAAUUUGAAGGCCAAGAAAAAAAAUUAAUCAAUUUUUAACAAUUUGCAUUGUGAAACAGUGCGAGCGAAAUUGUAUAAAGAUGAGGGGCCGGAACUGCUGAUGAAAGAAUAUUUGAAAAAUUUAUUUUCAAAUUAAUUGCUAUAAUUUGAAGGCAAAAAAAAAAUUAAUUUAUUUUUGAGAAUUUGUAUUGUGAGAAACUGUUUGCAAAAUCGUAUAGAGAUGAGGGGCCGGUACUGCUGAAAAAAAAAUAUUUGAGAAAUUUUUUUACAUAUUAAUCGCUAUAAUCUAAUGGCAAAAAAAAAAUUAAUUUAUUUUAAAGAAUUAGUAUUGUGAAAAAGUGUUUGUGAAAUCGUAUAGGGAUGACGGGCCGGUACUGCGGAUAAAAAAAAUAUUUGAGAAAUUUUUUUACAUAUUAAUCGCUAUAAUCUGAUGGCAAAAAAAAAAAUUAAUUUAUUUGAAAAAAUUUGUCUUGUGAAAAAGUGAUUGCGAAAUUGUAUAGGGAUGAGGGACCGGUACUGCUGAUGAAAAAAUAUUUGAGUAAUUUGUUUAUAAAUUAAUACAUAAUGUAGCUCUCGCUUUUUCACAAUACAAAUUCUUCAAAAUUAACUAAUUUUUCUUUUUGGCCAUCAGGUUAUAGCAAUUAAUUUGUAAAUAAAUUUUUUUAAUAUUUUUUCAUCAGCAGUACCGGCCCCUUAUCCGUAUACAAUUUCGCAAUCACUUAUUCACAAUACAAAUUCUUAAAAAUAAAUUAAUUUUUUUUUGACCAUCAAAUUAUAGCAAUUGAUUUGUAAAUAAAUUUCUCAAAUAUUUUUUUAUCAAAAAUACUGGCUCCUCAUCCCUAUACUAUUUCGCAAAUACUUUUUUUGUAGAAUUUGUAUUGUAAAAAAGCAUAAGCGAAAUUGUAUAGGAAUGAGGAGCCGGUACUGCUGAUAAAAAAAUAUUUGAAAAAUUUAUUUACAAAUUGAUGCUCUUAAAGUGAUGGCCAAAAAAAAAAUUAAUUUAUUUUUGAUAAUCUGUAUUGUGAAAAAGUGAGAGCGACAUUGUAAAGGGAUGAGGGGUUAGUACUGCUGAUAAAAAAAUAUUUGAAAAAUUUUUUUACAAAUUAAUCGCUAUAAUUUGAUGGCUAAAAAAAAAAAAUUUAUUUAUUUUUAAGAAUCUGUAUUGUGAAAAAGUGAGAGCGACAUUGUGUAGGGAUUAAGGGCCGGUUCUGCUGAUAAAAAAAUAUUUGAGAAAUUUUUUUACAAAUUAAUUGCUAUAGUUUGAUGGCUAAAAAAAAAAAAUUUAUUUAUUUUUAAGAAUCUGUAUUGUGAAAAAGUGAGAGCGACAUUGUGUAGGGAUUAAGGGCCGGUUCUGCUGAUAAAAAAAUAUUUGAGAAAUUUAUUAACAAAUUAAUGUUUUUAAAUUGAUGGCCAAAAAAAAAAUUUAUUUAUUUUUAAGAAUCUGUAUUGUGAAAAAGUGAGAGCGACAUUGUAUAGGGAUGAGGGGUCAGUACUGCUGAUAAAAAAAUAUUUGAAAAAUUUUUUUACAUAUUAAUCGCUAUAAUUUGAUGGCCAAAAAAAAAAUUAAUUUAUUUUAAAGAAUUUGUAUUGUGAAAACCCCGUAUAGGGAUGACGGGCCGGUACUGCUGAGGAAAAAAUAUUUGAGUAAUUCAUUUAUAAAUUAAUACCCAAUGUAGCUCUCACUUUUUCACAAUACAAAUUCGUCAAAA